UGAGAGGUUGAACGGCCACAUUGGGACUGAGACACGGCCCAGACUCCUACGGGAGGCAGCAGUGGGGGAUAUUGCGCAAUGGGGGCAACCCUGACGCAGCAACGCCGCGUGAAGGAUGAAGUUUUUCGGAAUGUAAACUUGUUUCAGCAGGACGUAAAAUGACGGUACUUAAUGAAUAAGCUCCGGCUAACUACGUGCCAGCAGCCGCG
rnacentral:rRNA from 1 species